GCUUGCUCCCGGAUGUUAGCGGCGGACGGGUGAGUAACACGUGGGUAACCUGCCUGUAAGACUGGGAUAACUCCGGGAAACCGGAGCUAAUACCGGAUAGUUCCUUGAACCGCAUGGUUCAAGGAUGAAAGACGGUUUCGGCUGUCACUUACAGAUGGACCCGCGGCGCAUUAGCUAGUUGGUGAGGUAACGGCUCACCAAGGCGACGAUGCGUAGCCGACCUGAGAGGGUGAUCGGCCACACUGGGACUGAGACACGGCCCAGACUCCUACGGGAGGCAGCAGUAGGGAAUCUUCCGCAAUGGACGAAAGUCUGACGGAGCAACGCCGCGUGAGUGAUGAAGGUUUUCGGAUCGUAAAGCUCUGUUGUUAGGGAAGAACAAGUGCAAGAGUAACUGCUUGCACCUUGACGGUACCUAACCAGAAAGCCACGGCUAACUACGUGCCAGCAGCCGCGGUAAUACGUAGGUGGCAAGCGUUGUCCGGAAUUAUUGGGCGUAAAGGGCUCGCAGGCGGUUUCUUAAGUCUGAUGUGAAAGCCCCCGGCUCAACCGGGGAGGGUCAUUGGAAACUGGGAAACUUGAGUGCAGAAGAGGAGAGUGGAAUUCCACGUGUAGCGGUGAAAUGCGUAGAGAUGUGGAGGAACACCAGUGGCGAAGGCGACUCUCUGGUCUGUAACUGACGCUGAGGAGCGAAAGCGUGGGGAGCGAACAGGAUUAGAUACCCUGGUAGUCCACGCCGUAAACGAUGAGUGCUAAGUGUUAGGGGGUUUCCGCCCCUUAGUGCUGCAGCUAACGCAUUAAGCACUCCGCCUGGGGAGUACGGUCGCAAGACUGAAACUCAAAGGAAUUGACGGGGGCCCGCACAAGCGGUGGAGCAUGUGGUUUAAUUCGAAGCAACGCGAAGAACCUUACCAGGUCUUGACAUCCUCUGACAACCCUAGAGAUAGGGCUUUCCCUUCCGGGACAGAGUGACAGGUGGUUGCAUGGGUGUCGUCAGCCC
rnacentral:rRNA from 2 species